UACCGGAUUAACAACACUAGACGCAUGUCUAGAGUUUAAAGAUGGUUCUGCUAUCACUCUUGGGAUGGACCUGCGGUGCAUUAGCUAGUUGGUAAGGGUAACGGGCUUUACCCAAGGCAAUGAUGCAUAGCCCGAGUUGAGAGACUGAUCGGGCCACAUUGGGACUGAGACACGGCCCAAAACUCCUACGGGAGGCAGCAGUAGGGAAUCUUCCACAAUGGACGCAAGUCUGAUGGAGCAACGCCGCGUGAGUGAAGAAGGGUUUCGGCCCGUAAAGCUCUGUUGGUAGUGAAGAAAGAUAGAGGUAGUAACUGGCCUUUAUUUGACGGUAAUUACUUAGAAGUCACGGCUAACUACGUGCCAGCAGCCGCGGUAAU
rnacentral:rRNA from 1 species